GACGAACCAUGCAAACGUUAUUCGGAAUUACUGGGCUUAAAGCGUGCGUAGGCGGCUCAGAAAGUUGGGUGUGAAAUGCCUCGGCUCAACCGAGGAAUUGCGCCCAAAACUACUGGGCUUGAGGGAGUUAGAGGUGAGCGGAACUCACGGUGGAGCGGUGAAAUGCGUUGAUAUCGUGAGGAACACCGGAGGCGAAAGCGGCUCACUGGGGCUUAUCUGACGCUGAGGCGCGAAAGCCAGGGGAGCAAACAGG
rnacentral:rRNA from 1 species